UCUUUCCCAGGAACCAUCGUGGUCUGCGUCACUACUGGGGCGUGUGUAUCCGUGGUCAGCACACCAAGACUACCGGCAGGAGAGGGAAGACUGUUGGUGUCUCCAAGAAGCGAUAAACUGCUUCACAAAGAUCCCCGCAUAGCUUCACUACUACUGUGUUGGUCCAUUUCCAGAAUCUUAAGGAGUGUUCUUGUUUAGACGAUUACCUUGGAUGAUGCUUUUGCUUGGGGAGAGGCUCAAGAAGAUCAGGGAGCUUUGCAUCCGAGUUUCAGCCAUCCUCUACAGCAAGGAGCUCUCAGCCAAAGGAGCAAGCAGCGCUGCUAGUUCCUUGAGGCCAGAUCGAGUAAGAUGGCGCACCAUGGCGUGUGGUGGCGUAUUUUGCUUCCGAGAACAAUACUGUUUAUUUUAAGUGAGAUGUACUUGUCUAGUGCUUGG